UACGUAGGCAGCAAGCGUUGUUCGGAGUUACUGGGCGUAAAGGGUGCGUAGGCGGUUGUUUAAGUUUGGUGUGAAAUCUCCCGGCUCAACUGGGGAGGGUGCGCCGAAUACUGAAUGACUAGAGUGCGGGAGAGGAGAGUGGAAUUCCUGGUGUAGCGGUGAAAUGCGUAGAUAUCAGGAGGACACCGGUGGUGUAGACGGCUCUCUGGACCGUAACUGACGCUGAGGCACGAAGCGUGGGUAGCAAACAGG
rnacentral:rRNA from 1 species